GCCGGGCGAGGUGGCGGGUGCCUGUAGUCCCCGCUACUCGGGAGGCUGAGGCAGGAGAAUGGUGUGAACCCAGGAGGCGGAACUUGCAGUGAGCCGAGAUCCGGCCACUGCACUCCAGCCUGGGCGACAGAGCGAGACUCUGUCUCAAAAAAAAAAAAAGGCACCAGGCCGGACCUUUUUUUUUUUUUUUUUUUUUUUGAGACGGAGUCUCGCUCUGUCGCCCAGGCUGGAGUGCAGUGGCCGGAUCUCAGCUCACUGCAAGCUCCGCCUCCUGGGUUUACGCCAUUCUCCUGCCUCAG
rnacentral:SRP_RNA from 1 species